GUGCAGGACUGUUGAUUUUUAUGUUAAAUGUUCUACUGUAUAUAUUUGUCAUUCGUCUCAACAAUAGAACUGUGAAUUAACAGUAUCAACACCCAGAUUCCAGAAAUUCAAGUAUAUAUUUCUGACACUGGCAUUAUUUUUCCUAUAACAGUGGUUUCUUUUUUUUAAUGUUCAGUCUUUUUAUUUCAAAGAAAUGAAGACAAGCAGAUCACAUAAGUGACACAGCAACUCUUCGCCAAUCUUGAAAGCGAAGAACGUGGCUGGAAGCCCAUCUUGGACCCCUGAACAAACUUCUGAGCUGCUGGUGUCACAAGUAUUUAGUAAAAGAAUUUGUCUUCCUCCAGGCUGGAUUCGCAUUUUGCCCCCUGCCAAUCACACAUGGGUGUCAAAGGCCCUGUUUAAGUGGUCUCCAGAAAUGCAGCCUGAAAUGGACCAUGCUAGGAUAGAUAGGAUGUGGUGGUACCCACCAUUCCCGCCUCUUACCUUAGCCAAGGAGCCAGAGAUGGGAUGCUACUUUGGUCAUGUAUUGUUUCUCUGGAUGCCACAAAAGCUGUGGAACGUCAAGCUUAUCUGUCCACGUUCAGACUGCGUGAAGGAGGAGCUCACUUCAGCAGGUCUGCAUCAGGAGCUCAGACAGGUAGUCGACAUGGAAGGGUCAUACUUCAUGGCAUCCGAGUGUCUGGUUUGUGGGAAAUGCAAGCGGAAAGUGAUUAGCUGGAGUCAUGAUGUAGUGUCACAACUUGAUAUUGGUCAUAGAGUCCAGUACCCUUGCAUUCUUGCAUCGCAGAUGGCAUGCGACCUGAAGGUUGUUCACUUUAACCGUCAGAGAUGUCUGGGGACCAGCAUCAGCCAAAUCCAGAAGAAACUGGAGGAACAUCACACUGAGGUAUGGCUGCAAAAGACUGUACAGUAUUUGACAGAUUGCAAAGGCUUUGCCCAUCCUGUGAAAUUUCAAAUCCCACCUGCCAUGCUUCCACUUCCUAAACACUGUUGGUUGAGGCAAGUGUUUGCUCUGGAUGUACUUCACCGAAUGAAUGAGAUUAAGACCAGCAUAACCUCGCAGUUUGGUCGUGUGCUAAAGAUGGGUUCCACCAAGAAGUUUCUCAGGAACUUCUCAGGAACUUGGGCGACCAGUGUCGCCAAUGAACAAGGGCAGGUUAUCAUGUCGGUGAUUAUGGAAAACAAAGACUCCGGUCUUGAAGCAAUGAUCUCAGGUGUCAUAAAUAGGUACAAGGAAGCCGCGGUGGCUCCUCCUGAAGUUCUGUAUGUCAACAGAGACUGCUGCGGUUCCAACUUUCUUAGGACAAUGUUCAAAGAGUGGAAGAACACGGAGGUCAGGUUGGACAUCUCAGAAUUCAUGAAACGGAUUGCUGUAGGCUGCACAUCAGAGUCGCAUCAGAGAUACGCGACCUUCAUGGGCCGCCUAAGCCAUUGUAUUUUUGAAUGGGAUGAGGAGGAGCUGAAGCAGCUGAAGGAGGCGAAGCGUACCGAGCUCAAGUGCGAGAUCAUGCAGCCUUCUGAUGAUGAACUAAUGCAUCAUCUCAGCAGAAGUGAGUUAGCCCUCCAUUGUAGGCACACCACACGUAAUGCGAUGGACAUUGAAGAACUCAUCACAAAGCUCAUUCAGCUCUAUGAUGGCGAGGCGGGAUGGGAUUCGUCGGGAGUGCCGCUCUUUAGUUCCAACAGAAUGGCUGAGAUAUGGGAUUUGGAGAAGAAACAUGUGGCGUGUAUAGUGGAUCCUAUUGGUGUACAACUGUAUGAGCAAACUGGGACACUGGUGAAGGGAGACGACCUUCUGCCAACCUACAAAUGUGUCAGAGGUUCCAACUCUGUUGAAUCCGUCCACCAGCAUCUGAACCAGCUCAUUCCAGGAGUGCCAACUUGUUCUACAUUUUUUCAAAUCUACUUGUUGGAUGCAUUGGAAAGGUGGAAUGAAACUACUGCUGCAACCUCAGAGAGUCUGCAGGCAACCUCAUCUUUUCUUCAGCAUGCUGUCAACCAGCUUGAAGAGGUGGUGUUUCAACAGAAGCUUCUGUCUAAUACUAGUACAAGUAAAUACACUGGUGAACUGAUUGGGUUAGAGUACCUUUUCCGGCAGAAUGGCAAUGAAUUCCAGGACAGAAAUUUUAUCAUUAGACAGAUGGAAACCACUGACGUCCAAAUGGCCAAAACUGAGGGCUAUUCCGAACAAGAGGACGUCAGGAAUUGGACGAUCACACAGCAAUCCGCCCCAUCUCUGUUAAAAGAUUCUCCAUCAAUGAUAAGCAGAAGUUUCCAGUUUCAGGUGGAGGAUCUCUUUGCACCCAGCACAUCCUCUCUGGUGAAUGAAAUGACGGCUCCAGAGAAGGUUGUUUCCAUAAAAGAAGAGGAGAGUAUGGGGUAUUAUUGUGAUGACAAGCCUCUCAUUUCAAACUUGCCUCCAGACACUGUGAUGGAAAACAAUAACACAACACAAGAAAAAGCCUCACAAGUACAACCUGCUCCCACUGAAACCCAGUCAGGUUCAUCCUUGACUUUGCCUCUCCUGCUUUCUGGUCCUUUUCUGUCAAAACAAAUGAUGGUGGUUUUAACACCUUUCACACUAAAGAGUGAUGCACAACCAACAGCGAGUUGCCAUUCAGUUCCUGUUCCUUACACCACACGGUACUACUGGAAGAGAAAACUGGUCAAGGAAAAGGAUGGCAUUUAUACCAGGAAGUAUGUACGAAGAUCAGAUGCUAUCCAGUGCAGAAAGUGCAAUAAAGAGAGGAUAAAGUCAACUCAUCGGCAGUAUUAUGGUAACUGGUAUUGUCAGGAGACCGAAACAAAACCCUUUGCUAUGUGGAAGGCUGAACUGCUAAAGCGAGGUUAUGGGAGGAAGAAGUUCUGAAGGGUGGAUUCACCAAUGCACAUCCAGCUACAAUGCUCUUUUCAUUUUAAUUUCAUUUAAUUUUAACUAUUUUUGUGAUUUUGAUGCUUCUAACCUCAGUACAAUUACAGCACUAAAUAAAAUCAUUCUUUGCGUGACAAUGAACCUGAACUGGUUUGUAAACAUUACUCAACACUUUUACAUGAACUCUGAAGCAUGAAUUUCUUCAUAAAUUUCUUCAUAUUUAUUUUAUUUAUGCUUAAAGUGUAUGGUUUAUUAUUGCAAUUGGAUCUUCAUUGUAAACCCUUCUAUCGGUAAGCUAUAAAAAACAUUAACACAACGUUUAGACUAAAAAAAGAAACUAUCUUACUCUGUGCUUAAAAGAAAGAUUAUGCAACAUAAAUUAAAUAUAUAUCCUGCUGUAGUUAUAUAUAUAUAGACAACAUUCUAUCUUUUUGUUUUUGCUUAUUGACCUGAUACCAAAAAUCUCACAGAAUCGUAUAUCAACCUCAUCACCUAUAUGAAGAAGACGCUCUUUCUAAAUUAAUUUGUUUACGUUAAAACGUUGUCCUGCCCCGUGUGAGGAUCGAACUCACGACCUUCAGAUUAUGAGACUGGCGCUACCUACUGCGCUAACGAGGCUAUGACGACACAGCGUGCAAAGGCUUCUGGGAAAAAAUAUAAUUAUAAAGUACUUUUGAUGAAAUAGCGAUUGGUAGUUGCCUUAGAAGUUGCCAGAUAACGGUGCGGAAUGCGGAUGAUUACACUUUGGCGACCCCUAGGGAGCAGCCGAGAGAGAGACGGGGGGAGAGUUGCCUUAGAAAUUGUAUUUGUGUGCCCUAUUUUUGAGCAUUUUCAUUAAAUUUGUAAAUAUUUUACUUUUUCGCAACCCUACUAGUUCACUAGUGCAUUUGCUAGUGCAAAUGGCAAAAAAAAUAAUUCCUUAGGUUUCAAAUUAUUCACAUUCACAAAUAAUAAUGUGGUUCCAAAAACAAGAAAAUUAAAUGACUUAAGAAAUUUUUAAUACUUAAGAAUUUAAUAAUAUCAUGUCAAGAAGGUCAAAGAACUACUAAACAAACUACAAAACUAUUAACCUUAUAAAGCCUACUAUAUCAUAUCUGAUACUUUAAUUUAUAAGGCCUCUAAAUGAUCAACUUUGCUGCAAAACCUGUUGCACACAAUCUACAUGCCUACUGAGGAGUCCUCUUAAAAAACUUAACGUUGUGGUUCACGUGUCUUUUGCUGUGAAAUCUUAAACAUGAGAAUAACUUGUAUAUUGUUAGUAAUAUUUCAAAGUGAAUAUUUACUGGAGAGAAGCAAAUUAGGUUUGCUUGAUUAUCAAUACAUAAUUUUUAGACAAAUUAUGUUAAAUGUAAGUAUCAGAUAUGAUACAACAGACUUUUGAAGAAUGAUUAUUUGUACAUCUAUCAUCAUUGAAUUGCAUUGCAUUAUGAUUAUGAUUAUGAUUAUUAUUGUGUUUUACCCAGUUUUACCCCCCACAAUUAAAACCACAGAGCUUUUAAUAUAAAACCAUAAGCAUUUAUAUAUCAUCUAGCAAGAUCUAUUAUUGAGACAUAUAGCGUGACAACUGAUAUUUACGUAUAUGCAUUUAUGUAAGUAGUCUGCUAUACUGUUAAACAUCUCAUUGAUUUAUAUUAGGAGGUAUCAGAGUUUUAUUUUAAUUUUUGGCCAUAUAAAUAACAGCAACUGCACCAAAUUUCAUAUUUUUGCUCACUUUAGGCCUCUGAAUAAAAUUUAGGCGUUUUUUUCCUCAACGGAUAUAAAACAUAAAAACACACAUGCAAACUUUCAUUUAGGCUUAGAUUUUUUUAAAAUAUUUUGUCUAAAGGUUCAAUAAACUGCUUUACAGGGUUAAACUGAUCAAUAUAUAUUAUUUGUGAAGUGUUUACAGAAUGAUGCUUCAUUCAUUGUGUUCAAUGGCAAACGGCCAAAAAAGAGAAAAACUCCAUCUCCCAUAAUGCCGUUCGUUUCCUCCGCUAUCUCGCGCCUUUCCAUCUUGUUCCUCUCGAGAGCUCAGCGCCGUAGUUGUUGUUGUGGUAUGUAAUAAUGGCGGCAGCAGGAGGCGGAUUACCAGCCUCGGCUGUUGUAGCAACCAUAAACACCUCCGCCACCGUUCGCUGCCGUUUCCCAGGUCGGCCAUGGACGUCUCGGAGCCUGUUGAGGACGGAGAAACGCUCUCAUAUCGGUCGGGUGAGGGCUGAAGAUAGAAAAGGGCCGAGGCCCGUCGACGUUGGAACUACGCUGCGAGAGGAUCCGUCACUGUCGCUCUUGCUCGGGCUGGCGGAGAAACACAGGCGCCAGCGCGAGGCGGGAUUCUGCACGAGCGGGAGCGAUGAGGAAGGAGACUUCACAGGCUUUAAAGUGGACGGUCAGUCGUCCUUGCGUUCUGGACAAGGUUCAUCAA